rnacentral:rRNA from 1 species
GUACCGUGAGGGAAAGGUGAAAAGCACCCCGAUUAGGGGAGUGAAACAGUACCUGAAACCGGAUGCUUACAAGCAGUUGGAGCCCCAUAGGGGGUGACAGCGUACCUCUUGCAUAAUGGGUCAGUGACUUAAUUUAUCGAGCAAGCUUAAGCCGUUAGGUGUAGGCGUAGCGAAAGCGAGUCUGAAUAGGGCGACUGAGUUCGAUGAAUUAGACCCGAACCCCGGCGAUCUAGGCAUGGCCAGGUUGAAGGUGCGGUAACACGCACUGGAGGACCGAACCGGUGAAUGUUGAAAAAUUCUCGGAUGAGCUGUGUUUAGGGGUGAAAGGCCAAUCAAGCCGGGAAAUAGCUGGUUCUCCGCGAAAUCUAUUGAGGUAGAGCGUCGGAUGUAUGCCGAUGGGGGUAGAGCACUGGAUGGGCUAGGGCUGCGCGAGCGGUACCAAACCUAACCAAACUCCGAAUACCAUCGAGUCUUAUCCGGCAGACAGACGGCGGGUGCUAAGGUCCGUCGUCAAAAGGGAAACAGCCCUAACCUACAGCUAAGGUCCCCAAGUCAUAUCUAAGUGGGAAAGCAUGUGGGAAUCCCAAAACAACCAGGAGGUUGGCUUAGAAGCAGCCAUCCUUUAAAGAAA